rnacentral:rRNA from 1 species
UACGUAGGGUCCGAGCGUUGUCCGGAAUUAUUGGGCGUAAAGGGCUCGUAGGCGGUUCGUCACGUCGGGAGUGAAAACUCGGAGCUUAACUCCGAGCCUGCUUCCGAUACGGGCAGACUAGAGGUAGGCAGGGGAGAGCGGAACUCCUGGUGUAGCGGUGGAAUGCGCAGAUAUCAGGAAGAACACCAAUGGCGAAAGCAGCUCUCUGGGACGGUACUGACGCUGAGACGCGAAAGCGUGGGGAGCGAACAGG